AUUCAACUGAUGAGUCUUAAAUAGGACGAAACGCGCAUCUUAGAU
rnacentral:hammerhead_ribozyme from 1 species